rnacentral:rRNA from 1 species
GCCGACAAGCUAGCCCACCCUAACAAAAACAACAACCCAAUAUAAAUAACCCCAAACACACAAACUACUCCUAUAAACAAACCAUUUUUCCCCCUUAGUAUGGGCGACAGAAAAGGAACUAUUGGAGCGAUAGAGAAAGUACCGCAAGGGAACGCUGAAAGAGAAGUGAAACAACCCAGUAAAGCCUAAAAAAGCAGAGAUUCUACCUCGUACCUUUUGCAUCAUGA